rnacentral:lncRNA from 1 species
AAACUCAUGGCUCUGGGGAUUGGAGAAGGCCCACUGAGGCAAUGCACCUGCAGGACUGGGUGGGCCCCAGGGCUCUAGCACACACUCGAGGAACACUCGUUUCUUCGGGCAGUUUGCUGCAUCCUCCAGGGAAAGCCUGGCCAGAAACGCAUCUGGAAGUGAGGCCGUGCAGCCUGGAGCUGACAAGGAGCCCCACCAGCCGGCCCCUCGCUCUACUGGCAGCUCGUCUUUGCUUGUUUAGAGUGCCUCAUCUGCACAAAAGACCCUAAUCUCAUCUCACUUGCUGUACCGGGUGACUGAGGGGAAAGUCUGGGGUCACAGUAUGUCUGCAUGGUCCAAGUGUGACCGUGCUGUGACAUGAAGAUGGUGCUCUUGACCCUGGGAAGCUGUUCCUUUUCUGGCUCCUCCUCCUCGCAACCUUGCUGCUUCUCUGAGCCAGCAGAAAAGACACCAGGAGGUUUCUCUGCCCCAGACCUGGGCCUCCCUGACCUGCCUCCUUUGCUGCCCUGGAGCCCGGGGGCUGUUCUGUUAGCCUGUCUUAGCGGAUUGCUCACCAGCAAUCAUUCUUAAACCUCAGGCAUGUCACUCAUCUUGCAUUUCCUGUUGAGGGAGACACUUGUUCCCUGACAUCAGUUUACUUAUCUGUCAACAAAGCCAUGUAUAUAUAAAAAAAAAAAGUCAUGUAUAUCUGCUCCUCCACCCUCCUCCCUUCCUGCCCUGUGUGCUGCCCAGCCUGGCUGCUGCCUGGGUGCUGCGAGCGUGGCCUGCCCUGGAGAGAACCACAGAAAAUGAACCGGGGCCAAGUGACAAAAAUCAGGUUUUCAGCAGCAGGUGAUCAGUACAGAGUCAGCACUCCUGUCACUACCUCGGCGCACGAAGAGUCAUGGUUGGCUAAAUGGCCAUGUCAGGAGAGGUGAUCUGCUUUCCCUGCUUCUCCAGAAAGUCGGGGAUUCUGUGCACAUCUUCAACACACCCAUCCUCCGCAUCCUAGAGGCCCCGAUGGCAUCCCAUCCAUCCUGAGGCCCAGUCCUGGCAAUGUCACAGGGCAGCAGU